rnacentral:misc_RNA from 1 species
AGCAGCCGCGGUAAUUCCAGCUCCAAUAGCGUAUAUUAAAGUUGUUGCAGUUAAAAGCUCGUAGUUGAAUUUCGGGGUUAGCAGGUCGGUCGUGCCAUCGGUAUGAACUGGUCUCGCUGAUCCCUCCCUCUUGACGAACUGUGAUGCCAUUAAUUUGGUGUCGCAGGGAAUCAGGACUGUUACUUUGAAAAAUUAAGAGUGUUUAAAGCAGGCUCACGCUUGAAUACAUUAGCAUGGAAUAAUGAAAUAGGACGUUUGAUCCUAUUUUGUUGGCUUCUAGGAUUGACGUAAUGAUUAAUAGGGAUAGUUGGGGGCAUUAGUAUUCAAUUGUCAGAGGUGAAAUUCUUGGAUUUAUUGAAGACUAACUACUGCGAAAGCAUUUGCCAAGGAUGUUUUCAUUAAUCAAGAACGAAAGUUAGGGGAUCGAAGACGAUCAGAUACCGUGUAGUCUUAACCAUAAACUAUGCCGACUAGGGAUCGGAUGAUGUUAAUUUUUUAAUGACUU